ACUCGUUCCAUCAAGCCAUAAAAGGAAAUAUCACCAACACAAAUGCCAGAAUAGUCGGUGUGUUUGGAUCCAGAUCUCCUCGGACAUAAUUCUCCAGAGAAAUUCGGUGAAAAUCCUAUAAACCAUCACACAGAUCAGCCUAAAGUGGUAAUGAA
rnacentral:lncRNA from 1 species